GGCUCUUUGAAUUUACUUUGAUAAAGAGUCAGACCUGCCCAGUGAAUAAUUUUUUUAACGGCCGCGGUACCUUGACCGUGCAAAGGUAGCAUAAUCACUUGCCUUAUAAUUGAAGGCUUGUAUGAAUGGUUUAACGAGAGCAAUACUGUCUCCUUUUUAUUUUCUAGAAUUUAACCUUUAGGUGAAGAGGCCUAAAUUGAAUUGAAGGACAAGAAGACCCUGUCGAGCUUAAAAGACACUAUGGAAGUAAAUAUAGUUUUUAAAUAAAUUUCUAUUAAGCUUUUUAGUUGGGGCGACUAAGGAACAAAAAAAGCUUCUUUCAAGAUAAAGACAAACAGGUUUUGAUCCGGCAAUAGCCGAUCUAAGAAAUUAGUUACCGCAGGGAUAACAGCAUAAUCUCUCUUGAGAGCUCUAAUCGAAAGAGGGGGUUGUGACCUCGAUGUUGGACUAGAAUAUCCUAAAGGCGCAGAAGUCUUUAAGGGUCGGUCUGUUCGACCGUUAAAAUUCU
rnacentral:rRNA from 1 species